UUUGAUUCACCAAAUAUUAGAAUGUUAAACUAGAGACAAGUGAUUUCAAAUGCAUUUUGCUGACCACUGUUGCAGUUGCCAAUCUCUGUGUAAAUAUAUCUCUGAUUAAUUUUCGACUUAUCAAUUCAUGAAAUAAAGCAUGAUGUAUAUAUUCAUUACAUAUUGGUAGUUGACUUUAGAGUAUCUUCGUAAUUAGUUUGUUUGUUAAUCAUAUGCUGAGAAAGCCUGACUUAUUACUUAUUAAGUCUGUAUAAUGUAACAUA
rnacentral:lncRNA from 1 species